UGGGGGAUAUUGCACAAUGGGCGAAAGCCUGAUGCAGCGACGCCGCGUGGGGGAUGAAGGCCUUCGGGUUGUAAACUUCUUUUGCUCUGAACAAGGCAUGCUAAUGGGUGUGUUGAGUGUAGGGGUUGAUUAGCGCCGGCUAACUACGUGCCAGCAGCCGCGGUAAUACGUAGGGCGCGAGCGUUGUCCGGAAUUAUUGGGCGUAAAGGGCUUGUAGGUGGCUGGUUGCGUCUGUCGUGAAAGCUCAUGGCUUAACUGUGGGUUUGCGGUGGGUACGGGCUGGCUUGAGUGCAGUAGGGGAGGCUGGAAUUCCUGGUGUAGCGGUGGAAUGCGCAGAUAUCAGGAGGAAUACCGGUGGCGAAGGCGGGUCUCUGGGCUGUUACUGAAACUGAGGAGCGAAAGCAUGGGGAGCGAACAGG
rnacentral:rRNA from 1 species